CAGUCGCCGCGGGAAUACAGAGGGUGCGAGCGUUAAUCGGAUUUACUGGGCGUAAAGCGUGCGUAGGUGGUUUGUUAAGUUGGAUGUGAAAGCCCCGGGCUCAACCUGGGAACUGCAUCCAAAACUGGCAAGCUAGAGUACGGUAGAGGGUGGUGGAAUUUCCUGUGUAGCGGUGAAAUGCGUAGAUAUAGGAAGGAACACCAGUGGCGAAGGCGACCACCUGGACUGAUACUGACACUGAGGUGCGAAAGCGUGGGGAGCAAACAGGAUUAGAUACCCGCGUAGUCCCUGUCUCUUAUAC
rnacentral:rRNA from 1 species